UACGGAAGGUCCGGGCGUUAUCCGGAUUUAUUGGGUGUAAAGGGUGCGUAGACGGGAAAUUAAGUUAGUUGUGAAAUCCCUCGGCUUAACUGAGGAACUGCAACUAAAACUGAUUUUCUUGAGUACUGGAGAGGAAAGUGGAAUUCCUAGUGUAGCGGUGAAAUGCGUAGAUAUUAGGAGGAACACCAGUGGCGAAGGCGACUUUCUGGACAGUAACUGACGUUGAGGCACGAAAGUGUGGGGAGCAAACAGG
rnacentral:rRNA from 1 species